CUGGCUGGUCCAGGGACUGGGUUUCUUGUCUGGAGUCACAAUUUACAGGGCCACUCUAAAAAAAGACCGGACAGUCUCUACAGAUAGCUUCCUCCAGGUUUCCACUGACCUUUUCCUGAGUGCAAAUGUGGCAGGGUACCACAGAUGUGAGACACCAAUCAUGGACUGUCAGGAUGGAGUACUACACAGGUCCAGCCUUGUUCCUUGGGAUGCUGAGGUACAUGGUUGCACAUGUCAUCUUCAAGACAGAAAGACAAGAUCCAGCUGUCAGUUUUUCCCAACAAGAAGAGAAGAGUUUAAAGUAAAAACAGUUAUGAAGCAAGAAUGCUAUAGGAAUAAUAAUAAAGAAAGACCAGUCAGGUAUUUGUGCUUUGAUCUAAACUGUAUGAAUGGCAAAAGUGUGACAGGAUGAUUUCUGAGAUAUUAAAAAGUUCUUACCUUGUAACAAUGUUCAUUCUUCAUUCUUCUAGUUGUCUUGAAAAAUAUCUCCUAGAAAGUCACCACUGAUGAUUAAAUCUCAGUUCAAAUAUUUGAAGUGUACCUUCAGUAUAAAAUCAAUAAAAUAUGCCCACUUAUUUUUUAAUAAAUUUUUGAUAGAUGUCUUUCCUUAUAUUGCUUAUG